rnacentral:misc_RNA from 1 species
GACACCACUCGGCCCUGUCCCUCCUCUCCUUAAAAACGAGACGUUGGAGAGGCUGCAGACUCUGCGUGUUCCGGAGCGCGAGCUCCGAGUGCACCGAACCUCGUGAACGAGAACCUCUUAUUUCAAAUACCGCCCGGGACGCGGCAGGAGUUGUUGACGGCGUGUUGCUCUCUUUUGCGCGACGCGACUCUCGACUCCACGACGCCUGUCCUGUAGGUGCGGUAGAGAGGAUCUGUAAUACAACAGUUCCGGUCGCCUAUCUCGCCCUGCUACACAGUAGUCUAGUACGGGCGAGCUUGAAACUACCCCAACUUUCG